rfam:Triticum aestivum genome assembly, contig: Triticum_aestivum_CS42_TGACv1_scaffold_222659_3B
CAACUACUCCCUCUGUCCCAAAUUUUCUAUCUUAGAUUUGUCUAGAUAUGGAUGUAUCUAAUAAUAAAAUGUGACUUGAUACAUCCGUAUCUAGACAAAUCUUGAUACAUCUGUAUCUAGACAAAUCUAAGACAAGAAUUUUGGGACGGAGGGAGUACUUU